GAUGAACGCUAGCGGCAGGCCUAAUACAUGCAAGUCGAGGGGCAGCGCAGUGUAGCAAUACAUGGGCGGCGACCGGCAAACGGGUGCGGAACACGUACGCAACCUUCCUUCAAGUGGGGGAUAGCCCAGAGAAAUUUGGAUUAAUACCCCGUAAGAUGGUGGUCUGGCAUCAGACACCCAUUAAAGCUGAGGCGCUUGAAGAUGGGCGUGCGUCUGAUUAGGUAGUUGGUGAGGUAACGGCUCACCAAGCCGACGAUCAGUAACUGGCGUGAGAGCGCGACCAGUCACACGGGCACUGAGACACGGGCCCGACUCCUACGGGAGGCAGCAGUAAGGAAUAUUGGUCAAUGGACGCAAGUCUGAACCAGCCAUGCCGCGUGAAGGAUGAAGGUCCUCUGGAUUGUAAACUUCUUUUAUGUGGGAAGAAACCACCUUUUUCUAAGGGUGUUGACGGUACCAUAGGAAUAAGCACCGGCUAACUCCGUGCCAGCAGCCGCCGUAAAAC
rnacentral:rRNA from 1 species